UUAAAUUGAAGAGUUUGAUCAUGGCUCAGAUUGAACGCUGGCGGCAGGCCUAACACAUGCAAGUCGAGCGGAAACGAGUUAUCUGAACCUUCGGGGAACGAUAACGGCGUCGAGCGGCGGACGGGUGAGUAAUGCCUAGGAAAUUGCCCUGAUGUGGGGGAUAACCAUUGGAAACGAUGGCUAAUACCGGAUCAGUCCUACGGAC
rnacentral:rRNA from 1 species